rnacentral:rRNA from 1 species
GACGAACGCUGGCGGCGUGCCUAACACAUGCAAGUCGAGCGAUGAAGCUCCUUCGGGAGUGAAUUAGCGGCGGACGGGUGAGUAACACGUGGGUAACCUGCCUCAUAGAGGGGAAUAGCCUUCCGAAAGGGAGAUUAAUACCGCAUAACAUAGCACUACCGCAUGGUAGAGUUAUCAAAGGAGCAAUCCGCUAUGAGAUGGACCCGCGGCGCAUUAGCUAGUUGGUGAGGUAACGGCUCACCAAGGCGACGAUGCGUAGCCGACCUGAGAGGGUGAUCGGCCACAUUGGAACUGAGACACGGUCCAGACUCCUACGGGAGGCAGCAGUGGGGAAUAUUGCGCAAUGGGGGAAACCCUGACGCAGCAACGCCGCGUGAGUGAAGAAGGCCUUAGGGUUGUAAAGCUCUGUCAUAUGGGAAGAUAAUGACGGUACCAUAAGAGGAAGCCACGGCUAACUACGUGCCAGCCGCCGCAGUAACAC